rfam:Pseudoalteromonas ruthenica strain S3137 contig0021, whole genome shotgun sequence.
AGUUCCCUAGCUUGUUGGCCAGCGAAUGAUGUCCCUGAGCCGAUAAACUUUGAUUAGGAACACAUCUUGUGGGCUACUGUGCAAGCUCGGCAUGUACCGAGAAGCCUACGGUCUACAGGUGUCUUCCGCCUUGAACCUUAGGGUUCAAGGGCUGAUAUUCGCAGCCGCAACGCCGGGGAACAC